rnacentral:ncRNA from 2 species
UACACCCGCGCGGGAGAGAUCACGAAGCUGUGGCGCCGAAGGGGCAAAUCCUCCCCGGAACCUCUCAGGCAAAAGGACCGUGUGGGUAGG